CCUACGGGAGGCUGCAGUGGGGAAUAUUGGACAAUGGGGGGAACCCUGAUCCAGCCAUGCCGCGUGUGUGAAGAAGGCCCUCGGGUUGUAAAGCACUUUCAGUGAGUAAGAACGCCUGGUGGUUAAUACCCAUCAGGAAAGACAUCACUCACAGAAGAAGCACCGGCUAACUCCGUGCCAGCAGCCGCGGUAAUACGGAGGGUGCGAGCGUUAAUCGGAAUUACUGGGCGUAAAGCGCGCGUAGGUGGCUUGAUAAGCCGGUUGUGAAAGCCCCGGGCUCAACCUGGGAACGGCAUCCGGAACUGUCAAGCUAGAGUGCAGGAGAGGAAGGUAGAAUUCCCGGUGUAGCGGUGAAAUGCGUAGAGAUCGGGAGGAAUACCAGUGGCGAAGGCGGCCUUCUGGACUGACACUGACACUGAGGUGCGAAAGCGUGGGUAGCAAACAGGAUUAGAUACCCUGGUAGUC
rnacentral:rRNA from 1 species